AACGAACGCUGGUGGCAUGCCUAACACAUGCAAGUCGAACGAGACCUUCGGGUCUAGUGGCGCACGGGUGCGUAACGCGUGGGAACCUGCCCUUAGGUUCGGAAUAACUCCCCGAAAGGGGUGCUAAUACCGGAUAAUGUCUUCGGACCAAAGAUUUAUCGCCUUUGGAUGGGCCCGCGUUGGAUUAGCUAGUUGGUAGGGUAAAAGCCUACCAAGGCGACGAUCCAUAGCUGGUCUGAGAGGAUGAUCAGCCACACUGGGACUGAGACACGGCCCAGACUCCUACGGGAGGCAGCAGUGGGGAAUAUUGGACAAUGGGCGAAAGCCUGAUCCGGCAAUGCCGCGUGAGUGAUGAAGGCCUUAGGGUUGUAAAGCUCUUUUACCCGGGAUGAUAAUGACAGUACCGGGAGAAUAAGCUCCGGCUAACUCCGUG
rnacentral:rRNA from 1 species